rnacentral:lncRNA from 1 species
UUUGCGUGUAAACUUUGUAUUCAAUAUUACUCUUUUAACAAAUUUGAUAACAUCGUAUUUUUACCUAUUUUACCUGUUUGAUAUGUUUUCAAACGUAAAAACGUAUUUUAGGUUUCAAGAAGGUUUGGCAGGUUUUAAGGCAAAAUGGACAAAAGUUCAUGAUAGUUUCAGAGCUUCACAUUUUACGCAACUUUUGAAUAUUUUCCCGAACUGCUUAUUAAGCGUUCUUGGUGUUUAAGGAAAGCUGGAAGAAUGCAAAAUAAAAAUUCGAAUUUGGAAAGAAAAAAAAAAAAAAAAAAUCUUUUCUCCACUCGACAAGUUCGCCCUAGCCACUAUUGGUUUUGAUAGAGAAGGGCUUCUCUUUUUUGUUUCUCUCCAAUUUGUGGAGUCUUGUGGUUUGCUUCGAGUUUCUUUCUUGGGUUUGUAGUUGUGGUUGGAGGGGUCAUUUAUGUUGGGAGCUGUGGUUCAGAGAAGAUGCUAGUAAUUCCGGAUCUGAUAGAUUCACGGUGUGACUCGUAGCAUAAUGCAUCUUCUUUGUUGAUCCGUCCCUAGUCUGUUCCCGCUCAUGUUCUGUUCAUCAUGUUGAAGCCGUCAGUGGUGUUUAGUUGUGUGAUUGGGUUUUAUUCGCCCAGCCUUUGCCUUUGCUAUCACUCUUGAUCAACUCGUCCCACCUUUGAUUCCCUUAAGGUUCGUUCCCUUGCUAAGCUUAGGCUUUGUUUUGUUUGAAGACAUGUUAGCCAUCUUUGGUUGCAAUUAGUUCUUCUCAUUGUUGUUAUUCGCUGUGGUUGAUAACUUUCUCGUCAUCAUGCUUGUUUGAGCUCGGGAUUUUUAGAGGUUAGGCUUCGCUUCUUGUCUCUGCUUUACAUAUAUGUUGAGAUAUGAUUUCGUUUUGAAGGCUUCUACCUAGACGUUUAUGGACGCUGCAGUCGUCGUUGUUGCAUUCGAAGCGUAUUCGAGUUUUUCUUGCCGGGUUAUGAAGUCUUCUGGUUUCGAGAGAUUGGCUCUCAUUGUGAUAGGAGGUUGUUGAUGUUAUCAUCGGAUUGGCCAUGGGCAUUCUUGGUAAAUUUCUUCUACAAGUGCUUUAGAAGAAGAGGUAUUCUUGCUUCUUGAGACUAUUGUGUUAUAUAAGGGUUAAGCCUAAUUGUCUUUGUCUUUAGUUUAAGGGUUCAUCCUCUUUUUGGGUUUAAUUUUUCUGCUUUGUAAUUUUGUUGUUUUUCUUUAUGUUUCCGGAGACUUCUCUUUGUCUGCCGGCUUUGUUUCCCUUGUUUGGGCUUUAGACUCCGGGGAAAUCUUUGUCUUCCGCCCGCUUAAGUUGUAUUUCUCCUUGUAUCCCUCUUUGUUCUAUCAAUACUACCAGUUGAAAAAAAAA